rnacentral:rRNA from 1 species
GACGAACGCUGGCGGCGUGCUUAACACAUGCAAGUCGAACGGAGUGGCGAACGGGAUAGUAACACGUGGGUGAUCUGACUUGCACUUCGGGAUAAGCUUGGGCAACUGGGUCUAAUACCGGAUAGUGCAAGAUGAGAUCGCGGCCUAUAAGCGUGUUGGUGGGGUAAUGGCCUACCAAGGCGUGGACGUGUCGCCGGCCUGGGAGGGUGUACGGCCACCUUGGGACUGGUAUACGUCCCAGACUCCUACGGGAGGCAGCAGUGGGGAAUAUUGCGCAAUGGGCGGAAGACUGAUGCAGCGACGCCGCGUGGUGGAUGAAGGCCUUCGGGUUGUAAUCUCCUUUCGACAGGGACGCGGUACCUGGAUAAGAAGCACCGGCUAACUACGUGCCAGCAGCCGCGGUAAUAC